rnacentral:lncRNA from 1 species
AAGUAUAUGUUUUCUUUCAAAAAGAGAAUCAGACAUGUAUCUACCAAUGAACCAUCCACUUAUUUUUAUAAGUGGGUUCGCACAUGUAAAAUAUUAUGUAUCGUUACAAAUAUAGAAUUUACACAAUAAUUAUAGAAUUUCUUCGAAGUAACUAGCUCCACCCCUGGAUAGGAGGUUUGAUCGAAAGUAAAAGAGAACUCUUGAAAAGAGGCUUGCUAACAUCUUUCCAAUUGCUUCCAAUUUUCACUUUCUUCAAGUGCAUGCUCCAAAGCUCCCAAAUAAGAAGCAAUGUAAAUGUUAAUUAACAAUAUAUAUCAACAUAAAUAAAUCUUGCAUAAUCAGUCAAUAGUUGUUCCUAUCUCCUUAAUACAAACAGCCACCAUCUCGCCAUUGCUCAACACAAAAAAUUUCACACGUUAUAAACUAAAAAUUAGUCUGAAAGUAAAUUACACAGAAGAGAUAGGUGGCGAAUCCAUAACUCAAAAGAAAUGAUGGAAGCUAAUUAAUAUCAUCAUGCAUAUGGUGGUCAGUGUGGAAGAAAAGAAAUGGAAGAUAUUUUGAAGAUAGAUUUAAUUUUAAUUUUAUUCGAAAAAGUAAUACGGAAUUGUUUAACAUCUUUAUAUUUUUGGUGUAAACAACUAAGAAUAGAAGAUGUAGAUCAUAGGGAGCUUGCAGUUUUGAUCUACAUCUUCUAUAUAAAGUUGUUUAUAUCAAAAAAGAAAAGAUACUAAACUAUUCUAUUUUACUUUGUGAACGAGACUAGAUCAAUCUUCAAAACGUCUACUAUAUCUUUCCAUCCAUACUAACCAUCAUAUGUAUAAUGGUAUUAGAUUUCACCACUUCUAUUGAAUAUUGAAUCCCCCUCUUCUUUGUGUAAUUUUCUUUUGCACUAGUUAUUAGUUUAUAAUGUGUGGGAUCUUUUCAGUUAAGCAGUGGAGAGAAGGUGGCUGUUGGAUUAAGGAGAUAAGAAUAUGACAAAGUUCUAAUUUUUUUUCUUCUAUUCCAUUAUUUGAAACACAAAUUUGAUGCGAGUAAGAAAUUUAGAAUUUAAAGGAACUAAAAAUUUCGAAAGUAAAUUGUCUUAAAAGAAUUUUGGUCUACAUACACUGCAAUACUAAUAGUUUAUAAAAAUCAAGACUCGAACCUGCUUCAAGGAGAUGGGAACGCCAGAAAAGCAACCACACCACAUUUAGCCCAAUAGAUUGC